rfam:Ascoidea rubescens DSM 1968 unplaced genomic scaffold ASCRTscaffold_12, whole genome shotgun sequence.
GCUCUUGUGGCCUAGUUGGUAGGGUAUCGUUUUCCGGCGCGGGCACGCAACCAACUGGAAAGCAACGAAGAUCCAGGGUUCGAGUCCCUGCUAGAGCU